rnacentral:rRNA from 1 species
UGGAUGAUGUGGAUUAAUUCGAUGCAACGCGAAAACCUUACCUACCCUUGACAUGUCCGGAAUCCUGCAGAGAUGCGGGAGUGCCCGAAAGGGAAUCGGAACACAGGUGCUGCAUGGCUGUCGUCAGCUCGUGUCGUGAGAUGUUGGGUUAAGUCCCCGCAACGAGCGCAACCCUUAUCAUUAGUUGCUACGCAAGGGCACUCUAAUGAGACUGCCGGUGACAAACCGGAGGAAGGUGGGGAUGACGUCAAGUCCUCAUGGCCUUUAUGACCAGGGCUACACACGUACUACAAUGGCCGGUACAAAGGGCAGCGACACAGGCGAUGUGAAAGCCAAUCCCGAAAAGCCGGUCUCAGUCCGGAUUGGAGUCUGCAACUCGACUCCAUGAAGUUGGAAUCGCUAGUAAUCGUGGAUCAGCACGCCACGGUGAAUACGUUCCCGGGCCUU